GUAGCUUUGCACUGGACUUUGAGCCUGCUUGUGUAGGAUAGGUGGGAGGCUUUGAAGCGUGGACGCCAGUUCGCGUGGAGCCAUCCUUGAAAUACCACCCUGGCAUGCUUGAGGUUCUAACUCUGGUCCGUGAUCCGGAUCGAGGACAGUGUAUGGUGGGCAGUUUGACUGGGGCGGUCUCCUCCUAAAGAGUAACGGAGGAGUACGAAGGUGCGCUCAGACCGGUCGGAAAUCGGUCGCAGAGUAUAAAGGCAAAAGCGCGCUUGACUGCGAGACAGACACGUCGAGCAGGUACGAAAGUAGGUCUUAGUGAUCCGGUGGUUCUGUAUGGAAGGGCCAUCGCUCAACGGAUAAAAGGUACUCCGGGGAUAACAGGCUGAUACCGCCCAAGAGUUCAUAUCGACGGCGGUGUUUGGCACCUCGAUGUCGGCUCAUCACAUCCUGGGGCUGAAGCCGGUCCCAAGGGUAUGGCUGUUCGCCAUUUAAAGUGGUACGCGAGCUGGGUUUAGAACGUCGUGAGACAGUUCGGUCCCUAUCUGCCGUGGACGUUUGAGAUUUGAGAGGGGCUGCUCCUAGUACGAGAGGACCGGAGUGGACGAACCUCUGGUGUUCCGGUUGUCACGCCAGUGGCAUUGCCGGGUAGCUAUGUUCGGAAAAGAUAACCGCUGAAAGCAUCUAAGCGGGAAACUUGCCUCAAGAUGAGAUCUCACUGGGAACUUGAUUCCCCUGAAGGGCCGUCGAAGACUACGACGUUGAUAGGCUGGGUGUGUAAGCGUUGUGAGGCGUUGAGCUAACCAGUACUAAUUGCCCGUGAGGCUUGACCA
rnacentral:rRNA from 1 species